rnacentral:rRNA from 1 species
AUGAUAUGCUUCUUUGCAGUCGAGUGGCACUUUGUAGACCGUGUGGCAAGACAAUUUGGAAGAAGACAAGGUAUUCCAAUUGAGGAGAGCAAAGAGCAAAUGCUAUCUCUGCAUCGGUUCGAUCGAAGGAACAAUCAGGAUAUAUCGGAUUGGGCAAACAAACACCAUGCAUGGAUAGAAAUUUGGAAUCAAAGAGACACACUAGUGCAAUCAGAGAAUAGACCUCACAAUCAGUUAGCAUAUCAGAAGUAUCAAGUGUGGUAUGCGGAUCGUUACCGGUUAAAGCUGAAGCCAGGUUGGACUCACGAGGAGUGGUCGGAGUUGGUGUCUGAAGACCUGGAGACUGCAGAAGGUUAUCAUACCUUCAACACGGCUGUGAGAGACACCAGAGGGGCUCAUGUUGACUACGCACCGAUGCAUGACGAAAUGGUAGUCUGUUUGACCUAUUCUAACAUAUUUGCAUCAUGUUGUCUUCUUUCAAAUACAUAA